CAAGACCAGCAAAGCAGACAAAAAUCACCUCCCAGCUAGCCCCAUCCAACAGCACUUCCAAAUGACGCGCAGCCUGGGAGGGCGAGGCAGAAGGUGCGCUGGCGGGAGGGGCACCCGCGGGGGCUCCGCGCCCGCGCCGGCGCUACACGCCGGGGCGGCGGGGCCGCGGCGGGCGCCCGGAUCUCCGCCCCUGCCCCGGGGGCGCCGCGCUGCGGGCACCGGGCCGCUCCGCCCCCGGGGAAGCCAGGGCAGCGAAACGCGCCCAUCGCAGCCAAGCGCCUAUAGAUUUUCGCCCUUUGCCACAAAAACGCACGUCCGGCCCCGCCGCCGCACCCGGGCACCCGGCCGCCCCGCCGCGGCGCGCAGCAGCCCCCGGCCGCGCCCGCAGGCCGCCGCGCUCCCCCGCCCCUUCCCCCGCGCCCGCCUGAGGCUCCCCCGCUUCGCCCCUCCCCGCCGCUGCGCGCCCGCGCAGCCCCCCGCCGCGGCACCUCGGCGACGCACGGCCGGCGCCCCCCCGCCGCGGCACCCACGUGUCCGCGGGCGGCGCAGCCUCCCCGCGCAGCCCGCGCCGGCCCCGGGGGGCGGGCAGCGCCGGCCCGCAGGCGCUGCGCGGCGCGGCGCGCACUUACUCCGCGGGGCCUCCCCGGGCGGCGGCGCGGGCGCGGCGGCUCCCAGGAGCGGGCGCCCGGCGAGAAAUAUGAAAUGGAAAGGAGCACAUGUGGAUACAGAAAAAUCUCUGGAAGCAAGAAGGAAGAAGAGGAUCUCUGCAACAUGCUUUAUCCAGGAUACAAGGGAUAGACAAGUCUUAUCAUAAAUUCUACACUGCACAAAAUUUUCUUCAUAAAUUCACAAUCUUUGACUCAACAUAUGAUUGAGUGUCUGCUCUGUGGUAUGGCCUUUCUUCUAAGUCAGUUGAAGACUAAUCAUAUGUCCAACUUGUGUCUUUUUCUCACACUGAAAUCUUGUCUGGAAACUUCAGAAUAAAAUAUGACAGCCAACUCAACAUUGGGGUAAAUGUUGCAUAGACCUUUGAGAAAGCUGGCAAUGCAGAGAAGAGAACCGCGAUCUCACCAGAGAUGCAAGUGCAGUAAUCCAAGUAAAAGAGUGAACCGCCCUCCCGUAGCCCUGGUGAACUUUUACAGCACUUGAGUACUAUGGUGGUAAGUGCUUUAGAAUUUCUUAGAUUUCACUUUGCAGUGUUUCCGUUGACUUUCCCCUUCUGCAGGUUUUACAAAUUGUUCAUCUUAUAAGAAGAAUCAAGGGAAGCCUAUAUCCUAUUUAGGCAUUGAGUAAGUCCAGGAAAAUACCAUUCACAAUAGGUGGCUGACAGGCUUAUAGCUCAAAAUGUUUAUGUUUAAAAUAUUACCAUAUACUCAUAUUGCCAUAUACUACUUACAAGGAUCCAAGCUCAUGAAAUGUCAAGCAUCUGCUAUUUCCAUUGGAAUAAAGGCAAGUUGGGAAUGCUCCCUUCCAUCCCAAGAGUUGUCAGGUCACUUCUUGGAAUUAUCGCUUUACCCAUUGUAGAAACAUCUGAAAUGUUAAGUGGCUUAUAAGACCUCUGGUGUUACCUAAAAAUAAUAUGGGGCUUCCUUAUACAUCUAAUGAAUUUCUGUAGGAGCAGUAAGGCAACUUAUUAGGACCGACAAUUAAAAGUUCUGAAAUUUGGAAGACGAGUGCCUUUGAGAACUGACGGUAGCUCCAAGCUAAACUCUUUCUUUUCUGUUAUUCUUUCACUCCUCCAAACAAGUACCUCUCCAGAUGUGAGAGCUUCUGGCAGGUAUGAUGAAUGGCAAAUCCUAAUGAAGGCUAUGGUUUGGCUAGAAGUGUUAGGACUUAGCACACUGUACAAUUCUCAUCUGAAAUAGGAAUAUCAGGAGCCAAUUUCUUGAACAUAAUUUAUUCCAGACACUAGCUGGAAUAAACAGCAUUCUGUAACCUCCUCAGAUAUUUUGCCAGUGGGGAGCUGUCUUUACACUUCUUUCAGCUAAGUUAGUGUUCCAAAUACAAAACUCAUCACUCAAGAAUACAGUGUGGUUUUACAAACUUGAGGAUUUGAGUUCAUUACCAUAGACAGGAUUGUGCCCUAUCUAUGUUUUUUUCUUCUGCAUCAGAUCUAGAGUAGCAUGCUGCUUGCCUUGCCCUGAAGAGUAAAAAAACUCCCCCAAAACCAAAAAAAACCAAAAAACCCCAGCACUCAGUCAUGAUGAGGUUUAACUUCUAGAAGCAACUUGAGCAUAAAUAAGUUCAGUUUCUAAAAUAUUCAAUGUUUUACUUAAGUGAAGUUUCAUGCUAAAAGGGAGUAUAAAAAUGGGACCUUCUUAGUCAGUAGAUGUUCUCUUGUGUGUUCUCAGUCUUUUUGGUUUCCUUUAGUAACAGAAAUAUUUUUUUAAUAUAUUUUUACCCUAGUUCCCUGCACAAUGUAUGCAGCUGUGACAGAAUGAGCUAGAUUUUGUUCUGGCACAUGCACUAUAAACAGAAGUACUGCCAUGAAUAUAAUCCUGACUUACCUGUGCAAACAAGGACUCAUAAAACUCAGCUUUUCAGUUCCAGAGUCAGAUGCUGUCCUCGGCUACACCUAGAUGUAACUAAAGGCAAAAUUUGACCCAUGGAAUUUUUACGACCAGGAAAAGACAAGAUGCAAAGGGGGAAUUUUCAGGAGUGGUUUCUAAUGGAACAUGGGAACAUUUUUGAGGCAGAUGCUACUGGGACACAGUAUGAGCUAGCCCUGCAAUGGCAUGUUUGUAAGCCACUUGUAACAAUAGAGCUUCACUUGCUCUUUUAGAAGAUCCAUGAGAAGAUAAGCAACAAAUAGUCCACUGAAAAGUGACAAGUGAAAGUGAAUCCAUUUCAUCUUCUAAUUCCUAGUUAUGCUUUCUUUGGCUCCCCCAAGGAACCCAUUUUCUUCUGUAGUGCUUAUGUUUUCCAUACCUGAAAUAUAUCUUAUCCUCCACAUUAUUUUCUAAUCUAGAAAGUAUAACUUUUGAUAUGCCUCCUGAGAGAUCCCUCUGCUCUGCUGCUCGCUUUUUUUCUCAUAUUCUGUUAGUUUGUGAAUAUCUUUUUGAUACGAGGUUGUCUAAAACUGAUGGAGAUGAAAGGAUGGAGUGGGGAGGAAGGGAAGAAGCAAUUCACCAUUGUAUGGAGCAGAGAAAAAGAUAAUCUUCCUGCUUCAUGAUGUGGUAAUUGUGUCACAUCUUCCCACGCUGCAGAUAGAAACUUCCCCCAGAAGUCAAUGGUAGACCUCCCUCUGAUUUCCAAGGAUGUUGAUCACUUUCUUCAGUAUCUGCAAAUUCAUCUCUAUUGCUUUGUAAGAUCUAAUUCUGUAAACACUUCUGUAAAAUACUCACAAAGCUAUUCAUGAACACAUGGACUUACAGAAUUUUCCUCUAUGAAAUAACUGUCUGAAACCAGAUUAUAAAUUAGAUUAUCAAUGAAAUCCUAUUUUAUUACCUUUUAUAUUUUAAACUCUCAGAUUAUUUUUAUUGCUUCUUUUUUUUUCCUGCUGUUCAUUCUAAUCUUCAAGCUGAGUAAUGUAUGUGAAAAGUAUCCUAAGCUUCAGUCUCUUUAGGAAUACAAUUUUAGAUGAGAUUCUUCAAAAGUAAAGGCCUGAAAUUAGAACCCUGUUGUACAUAACAAAGAUAUUAAUGGAAGGCUGAGCCAUUCCAAGUGACAAUCCACUUGUUUAAGGUCAUAUUCUGUAAACAUGGACUUGUGCAUCAGUUUUCUGUGGGACUAUUCACAGAAGCAGUUAAGCACAGAGUAACUAUUGCAAAUUUGGAACUGCAGUUUACCAAACAUAGGUGUUUAAUCUAAGGUGCCUUAUUUGGAAUCUUGAAGAGUUUAUAUAUAUUUAAUGUUCCUCAUUUUCCUUAGAACAUUGUGGCUACAUUUAACUCCUUACAGUCAGAGAGGCUGAUCCGUGUAAUUUAAUCAUUUUGUUUACAAUUUAACUCUUCCUUAUCUGUCAUUUCUAUAUACUCAGGAGGAUUAUAAAAGAAAGCCAUUUAGUAUAUUCGAGAAAAUUGUGUUUGAAAUGAGAUGUACGUAUGAUUUUAUCAUUUUUACCUUCUAAGUGCCUUGCGAAUACUAACUCACAUGACAAUUAAGUAUUUAUUGUAAUCAUCAGAAUAUAAAAGAACUGUUUUUAUGAGAAAGCAAUGUGAAGACAUUGCAACACGUUUCUGACCUACUGGAAUGACAGAAUAACAUCCUCUGAAGCUGGGGGGAGCAAAUGUUGGGAUUUAAGAUUACCGUCUCCGAGUUUGUUCAGAACAUUUUUUGAGCGCACGCCUGGAAAAAUUCCAGAAAGCGAAUUUAGUGUCAAGAAAGUCAACGAAACAGUGAGCUUUAAGUAAAUAUUGUCGCAUGGGCACAUCUGAGCGUACAGAGGCGCUAAGAAAAACCCGCGAGGGAGGAGGACGCUCCGGGCGCCUGGGCAGAGCUCGCCGCCCCGUCGGACCUGCGGGGCGCCGCGGCUCUGCGCGCAGCGGCGCGGCCGGGGCCGCUCUGCGCCCUCCCGCCUGGCGGCGCGGGGGGCCCCGCUGCCCCCGCCGGCGCCGUGACCCCUUUCUGCCGCAGCUCGGGGCCCCGCGGCGCUUCAGGCGAGGCAGACGGGGCAAAAAAGCCUGGUGGGGGAAGAGUGCAUCGCUCGUGCUUAACAACGUCCUGAACGCGAGCAGCUACCGCGUCUCUGAUCCCUUCGGCGAUCUGCGGGGCUUGAGCGCAGCAAUCGCCAAUAGCCACGUUCCAGCUUUGAAGUCGCGGAAAUCAUCCUCACGGGCAUCAGCCGGUAUUUUAAUAGGGCUCAUUCUGGCCCACUUUUUACAAGGUGUAAGAAGGCCAAAAAUUCAGCACUCUUCCGGGGCAUCUAAAAUGUUAGGUCCCUCCUCCGAGAGACAUAUUUCCAUGUGAGGCCAAGCGCGGAGAGACAAAUUAGUGCGUAUGCUCGAAACUGCAUUUUCAACAGAAAUUCGGAUGCGUCCGUUCGUGUUUAGACGUGGAGUGGGACCGGGGGGGGGGGCGGUGUUCAGUGUGCAGGAAACAUCACUGGGAAACCUGGCAUGUAACAGCAAGGAUCAAAAGUAAAUGGCCUAUUUGAUGUGAAAAGUGAGUUCGGGGAUGCCUGAAACGGGGAGAGAGAAGAGCGGGGAGCGGCACGCAGGGCGCCUCGGAGCUGCGCUGCGGCGCGGCGAACCGCUGCGUUAGGGCCUGGCUCCCAAAAUGCCAGGAAACGGCCUGAGCAAUGUUGAGGUAGUCAAGCAAAAAGAUACAGCGCAGGUAGGAGCGUUUCUUUGUGGACUUUUAGGCGGAAACCUGGCCGCCGGCCCCCGCGCCCUGCCGGCCCUUGGUGCGCUGCGGCUUCCCCUGCAAACGCGCGUCCGGGUCCGUCACCACCCGUCGGGUGACGCCUGGAAAGGCACCACCAGCUUCUCCUCCUCUCCGCCCGCAGCAGAAGAGGCGACGGCCGCGGCGCGGGGCUGCGGGGCGCGGGCAGCGGGUGUCUGCGCCGAGGCGGAGCGGGGGCUCCCGCGACCGCGGGGCUGCGCGGCGCUGGGUGAGCACCGCCACCGCCACGGCUGCCUGCGCGCCUCCCCUUGCUCGCAUGGCGUGUGUCAGCCUCGCCAGUGCCUCCCGAAAAUGCAGAGCCGCAUGUGCAUGUAACUGAGACUCCCCGGGACACAGCCCGGAGCAGACCGCUCGCUCCUCUGUAUUGCGAGGCCGCUACCGCAGCGCUAAAAUUACGGACCGUUUCCGCACGCCGCAUCGAGCCACCUUGUUGUUGAUAAAGCGAUGGAAAAAUACCAGCCGCUGGUACAAUCAAAGUAUUUCAUCCAUGCCAAUGUGUGUAAUUAUAUUUGUGUAAAAAUAACCUUUUCCCUUGUACCGCUUAGUUUCUCCUGCUUUAGCAUACGUUUUGAGUUAAAACCGUUGACAAGAUUGUAACGAAAAUACUGAUUGAUGCAAACACGGCCUGAAACAAAUCCA